UACGGAGGGGGCUAGCGUUGUUCGGAAUUACUGGGCCUAAAGCGCACGUAGGCGGCUUUGUAAGUUAGAGGUGAAAGCCCAGGGCUUAACCCUGGAAUUGCCUUUAAGACUGCAUCGCUAGAAUCGUGGAGAGGUGAGUGGAAUUCCGAGUGUAGAGGUGAAAUUCGUAGAUAUUCGGAAGAACACCAGUGGCGAAGGCGACUCACUGGACACGUAUUGACGCUGAGGUGCGAAAGCGUGGGGAGCAAACAGG
rnacentral:rRNA from 1 species